rnacentral:lncRNA from 1 species
UAGUAUGGAUGUAAUUUAUUGUCUAGUUUCUAUACAUGGACAUUUAUAUUGAUUCCAAUCUUUUGCCAUUUCAUACAGUAGAGAAAUAAACAUCAUCAUGCAUACAUCUUUGCAUAUGUGGGAAUGAUUCCACAGGAUAAAUGCCUAGAAGUAGAAUUGUAAAACAAGGGCUUCAUAAAACAUAAUGAUAACCACAUAUAAAUGGUGAUGGAGGUAAGUUUCUCCUUUUUUUGUGGUUAAAGUCUUUUAUCCUUAAUUUUUCUUUUUUGUUGUUGUUGUUCAAGUCUUUUGGUUUCUCUUAUUUUCUAAAAUAACAAGGAAGUAAUGAUUACAAAGACACUAUUUGUACAACCCUACAAUCCCAGGAAGAUCUACAGUUUGCAUAGGUGGGUAUAGCAAGUUGCUAACUGGACCUGCCAUUGAAAUAGUCACCACAAUAAACAAAGAAAAUUCCAAGAGUCCUGCAUUAGGGAAUUGUACUGCCAGUGACUAGGUCUUCACUUGGUGGUAUUGUGAGUGCAUGGGUCCAGACUUAUGAUUCUGACAAUUAAGGGAAAAGGAAUUUUCUUUAUGCUCUGUGUAUUUGUGUAUGUGUGUGGCAUGGGUGGGUUGGGCGUGGGGUGGGUAGCGAGCAGGAGAUGAAAGGUGCCUGAGGUAAAAAGGAUGCACAGGACCCUUUGAUUUUAGUCCCUAAAAAUUGGCUUCAUAACCUUUCACAGGCCACAUCCCUUUUAUGGGCUCUAGUUUCCCUUUAAAACAUAAAAGGUUUGUGUUGGAAAGGAAAAGGAGUAUUUAAAGCCACAAAGCCGACUUAUAUUACCUAAGGAGAGAAUGCAGAUAGAGAGGGAGAGGAGCUCAAGAUGGCUGGCUGACAUCUGGGCCUGCCCAACAUUGAGAAAUUUGGGAGGGGAGCCAGCAAAGGGGCCUGGGAGCAGCAGUUCCGGACAAAAAGGAGAACGUGACAUCCAGAGAACCAAGAGAAAAAGUGGCUGAAGGAGUGCUCAGCACUGGCAUCUCAGCUGAAUGCUGCGGCAGGCUCAGGGGCCACAAACAAUAGGGAGCUGGUGGAGGCCUUGACGAAGACCAUUUCAACAAACUGAUGGGCUUAAAAUCAAGAAGAAAGUUUGUUUAAACAGUUAAUGAACAAAUCAUUUUGACGCCUUUUAUAAACCACACAAGCUUAUUCCAAACCCGUUACUGGCCUAAUUGAUUGAAGUCCCUUUCCGACCUGAUCCUCAGAGAGUCUAAGGGACUUGGCCUAUCCACGACUCUUCCUCUUGCUUCUCACCUCCCAAGAUUGCCCUCAGGAUGUGAAAGUGCUUUCAAACAAAGAUGCCCAACAAAGAAGCUGGGCAAAUGUGCAAGAAUUAGUUUGUAUUAAUCUAUUACUGUAUUUCACCUUGCACUCUCCUUCGUGCUUCGUGCUUCGUUUCCUUCGUGCUCCCUCAAUAUCCAACUCUUAAUAAAUUCAUGGCUCCCGGUGAGCAUUCACCACUUCUGAUUCCACGCCUUUA